GCGGGCGCGGCUUCUCCGGGCCGCGGGCGGCGGGGCGGGGCGGGGCGGGGCGGGGCGGGGCGGGGGUGUGGCUAACGGGCGGCCUCUCCCGCCUCCGCGCGCGCCCUGCAAGAAAAUGGACGUUGCUCGAGGUCUCCCGGGACUUGCGCAGAUAUUCUGGCGAGUUCGCCCUUUCCGAGUGUCCCCUGGCAGGGCCGCCUCUGCGCACCCCCUUUAUAUUUAAAGAGAGCCUGGUUUGCUGAAACCCUGGAGUCGGCCACGGUUGCGACCAGUACGAUCCUGCAGCGAGGAAGGUGGUUUUGGCCUUUCCAUCCCUUCCCCUGCGUCGAUCACGUGAUCCUGAGGUCGUCCUUUGGCUUGGGCUGACCACUCUCGAGCAGCCGUCGCCACCCCUCUGUUGUGCUUAUCUCUGGGUCCCACUUGAAUCGAAGCGCGGAAAUCUCCCCUUGCGAGGACACAGUUGUCUUAGUCAUCCCUCCUUUCGCCUGGAUACUUAAUUCCUUAUCUUUUUGGUGCCUGAGAGUUGUGGCCCUCUAACUGAACCCGUGGUUUUCGGAUAAAGUACACCGCCAGUAACUGGGCAAAGAAUUUUUCCAUGCGCCAAUCAGUGGGCUCCGUUUU